rnacentral:rRNA from 1 species
CCUACGGGUGGCAGCAGUGGGGGAUAUUGCACAAUGGGGGAAACCCUGAUGCAGCGACGCCGCGUGGGUGAAGGAGCGUUUCGGCACGUAAAGCCCUAUCCGCAGGGAAGAAAGAGGACGGUACCUGACUAAGAAGCCCCGGCUAACUACGUGCCAGCAGCCGCGGUAAUACGUAGGGGGCAAGCGUUAUCCGGAUUUACUGGGUGUAAAGGGAGCGUAGACGGCGGCGCAAGCCAGGAGUGAAAGGCCGGGGCCCAACCCGCGGACUGCUCUUGGAACUGUGCGGCUGGAGUGCAGGAGGGGCAGGCGGAAUUCCUGGUGUAGCGGUGAAAUGCGUAGAUAUCAGGAGGAACACUGGUGGCGAAGGCGGCUUGCUGGACUGCGACUGACGUUGAGGCACGAAAGCGUGGGGAGCAAACAGGAUUAGAUACCCGAGUAGUC